rnacentral:rRNA from 1 species
UACGAAGGGGGCAAGCGUUGUUCGGAAUUAUUGGGCGUAAAGGGCGCGUAGGCGGCCUGGCAAGUGGAUGGUGAAAUCCCUCGGCUUAACCGAGGAACUGCCAUCCAGACUGCUUGGCUUGAGACCGGGAGAGGUGAGUGGAAUUCCCAGUGUAGCGGUGAAAUGCGUAGAUAUUGGGAGGAACACCAGUGGCGAAGGCGGCUCACUGGACCGGUACUGACGCUGAGGCGCGAAAGCGUGGGGAGCAAACGGG